UACGGAGGGGGCGAGUGUUGUUCGGAAUUACUGGGCGUAAAGGGCGCGCAGGCGGCUUGACAAGUCAAGUGUGAAAUCCCUCAGCUUAACUGAGGAAUGGCGCUUGAAACUAUCUCGCUAGAGGGUGGGAGAGGGAAGUGGAACUCUCGGUGUAGGGGUGAAAUCUGUAGAUAUCGAGAGGAACACCGGUGGCGAAGGCGGCUUCCUGGCCCACAUCUGACGCUGAGGCGCGAAAGCGUGGGGAGCAAACAGG
rnacentral:rRNA from 1 species